AAAUUGAAGAGUUUGAUCAUGGCUCAGAUUGAACGCUGGCGGCAGGCCUAACACAUGCAAGUCGAGCGGUAACACAGAGAGCUUGCUCUCGGGUGACGAGCGGCGGACGGGUGAGUAAUGUCUGGGAAACUGCCUGAUGGAGGGGGAUAACUACUGGAAACGGUAGCUAAUACCGCAUAACGUCGCAAGACCAAAGUGGGGGACCUUCGGGCCUCAUGCCAUCAGAUGUGCCCAGAUGGGAUUAGCUAGUAGGUGGGGUAAUGGCUCACCUAGGC
rnacentral:rRNA from 1 species